AACGCUGGCGGCGUGCCUAAUACAUGCAAGUCGAACGGUCUUUCUAUGGAAGCUUGCUUCCACUGAGAAGAUAGUGGCGAACGGGUGAGUAACACGUGGGUAACCUGCCCAUAAGAGGGGGAUAACAUCCGGAAACGGGUGCUAAUACCGCAUAGUUUUCUUGAUCGCAUGAUUGAGAAAGGAAAGACGGCCUUUGUGCUGUCGCUUAUGGAUGGACCCGCGGCGUAUUAGUUAGUUGGUGAGGUAACGGCUCACCAAGACGAUGAUACGUAGCCGACCUGAGAGGGUGAUCGGCCACAUUGGGACUGAGACACGGCCCAAACUCCUACGGGAGGCAGCAGUAGGGAAUCUUCCGCAAUGGACGAAAGUCUGACGGAGCAACGCCGCGUGAGUGAAGAAGGUUUUUCGGGAUCGUAAAACUCUGUUGUCAGAGAAGAACAAGUUGGAGAGUAACUGCUCCAGCCUUGACGGUAUCUGACCAGAAAGCCACGGCUAACUACGUGCCAGCAGCAGC
rnacentral:rRNA from 1 species